rnacentral:lncRNA from 1 species
ACAAAAUGAGCACCUUGGGUCUAAUACAUUGAAAGAAUUCGAGUCAAAGCCUGGAUCCAUUCUCCUUUCCCACACAGAUGAGCCUGGAUCCAUUCACCCUUACCAUGGUCGUGAUGCUAAUUCAAAGGAGGAGAAACCACAAAUGAAAGAUUUUGAGUCAAAGCCUGAAUCCUUUUUAAUCCUUUACCGUGGUGACAAAGCUAACUUGCAAGAGGGAAAACCGCAUAUGAAAGAUUUCGAGUCAAAGCUAACUUGCAGGAGGGAAAACCGUAUAUGAAAGAUUUCGAGUCAAAGCCUGAAUCCAUUUUGAUCCUUUACCGUGGUGACAAAGCUAAUUUGCAGGAGGGAAAACUACAUAUGUAAGAUUUCGAAUCAAUGCUCCUUUACCAUAAGGGAACCAGCGAUGAUGCUAAGCAAAAUUAGGAUAAAUCAAACAUGAAAGAAUCAAAGUGAAGUGAAGGUCUGUGUCGCUGCUUUUGUAGCAUAGUCUUGAUGUUGAUUCCAAACAAGAGAAAUUCAAUUCGCUUGAGACUGGAUUUCUGCUCUGUCAAGAAUAAGUGUAGUUGGUCUUAUUUUCUUAGUGUUGAGUGAAAAUGUCUCGCGUGUAAUGCAAUUCCUCUAUUAAAU